rnacentral:rRNA from 1 species
CUAACAAGGAUUCCCUCAGUAACGGCGAGUGAAGCGGGAAGAGCUCAAAUUUGAAAUCUCCGAUGCUUGCAUCGGCGAGUUGUAGUUGCGAGAAGCACUUUCUAGGCGGAUCGACGGUGCCUAAGUUGCUUGGAACAGCACGUCGCAGAGGGUGACAACCCCGUCUGUGGCGCCGCCGGCCGCUGACGAUGUGCUUUCGAAGAGUCGGGUUGUUUGGGAAUGCAGCCCAAAAUGGGUGGUAAACUCCAUCUAAAGCUAAAUACNGGCGUGAGACCGAUAGCGAAGGAAACGAAUGCGCUCAGCAAUGCGCCCUCUGAGAUUCAGCCGGUGGGUGGUGGCGGCGCCGGGUUUGCGGAUCUGAAUGGACCGCGGCCCGGCGCUCGCCUCUCCCCGCCGUCGCACUUCUCUCGGGCGCGCGUCAACGUGGGUUGGGACUGGGUCUGAAAGGUACCGGGAAGGUAGGGUGUGGGCCUCCGGGUCCGUUCUGUUACAGCCCGGUUCUCUCAUGGCUCGGGCCCGACCGAGGACUGAUGCAGGGCAUGCCUCCUGUGGCUAGGGUCCCGUCCUUCCGGCCGGCUGUCCAGUGCGGUGGACUGCUUGCAGUCUCCGCGACNNCUGCCGGUCGUUGGGGUGGUGAUCU